GCGGGCGAGCGCCUCGCCAACCCGGUCAGAUCCGGAAGGAAGCAGCCGUAACGAGACCCGCUUGGGUCGUUGUCCAGCCUC
rnacentral:SRP_RNA from 1 species